GAACGGGUGAGUAAUGCAUCGGAACGUACCCAGUAGUGGGGGAUAACUUACCGAAAGGUAAGCUAAUACCGCAUACGCACUGAGGUGGAAAGCAGGGGACCGCAAGGCCUUGCGCUAUUGGAGCGGCCGAUGUCGGAUUAGCUAGUUGGUGGGGUAAAGGCCUACCAAGGCGACGAUCCGUAGCGGGUCUGAGAGGAUGAUCCGCCACACUGGAACUGAGACACGGUCCAGACUCCUACGGGAGGCAGCAGCGGGGAAUUUUGGACAAUGGGCGCAAGCCUGAUCCAGCCAUGCCGCGUGAGUGAAGAAGGCCUUCGGGUUGUAAAGCUCUUUCGGCCGGGAAGAAAUCGUGGUGGCUAAUACCUGCCAUGGAUGACGGUACCGGACUAAGAAGCACCGGCUAACUACGUGCCAGCAGCCGCGGUAAUACGUAGGGUGCGAGCGUUAAUCGGAAUUACUGGGCGUAAAGCGUGCGCAGGCGGUUGUGUAAGACAGGCGUGAAAUCCCCGGGCUCAACCUGGGAACUGCGCUUGUGACUGCACGGCUAGAGUACGGCAGAGGGGGGGGUGGAAUUCCACGUGUAGCAGUGAAAUGCGUAGAGAUGUGGAGGAACACCGAUGGCGAAGGCAGCCCCCUGGGUCGAUACUGACGCUCAUGCACGAAAGCGUGGGGAGCAAACAGGAUUAGAUACCCUGGUAGUCCACGCCCUAAACGAUGUCGACUAGUUUGUUUGGGAGGGGGUAAAACCCUUUAGUAACGUAGCUAACGCGUGAAGUCGACCGCCUGGGGGAGUACGGCCG
rnacentral:rRNA from 1 species